rnacentral:rRNA from 1 species
UGCCGAGUAAUGGGGGAUAACGCAUCGAAAGGUGUGCUAAUACCGCAUACCCUCUGAGGAGGAAAGCGGGGGACCUUCGGGCCUCGCGUUAUUCGAGCGGCCGACGUCUGAUUAGCUAGUUGGUGGGGUAAAGGCUCACCAAGGCGACGAUCAGUAGCGGGUCUGAGAGGAUGAUCCGCCACACUGGGACUGAGACACGGCCCAUACUCCUACGGGAGGCAGCAGUGGGGAAUUUUGGACAAUGGGCGAAAGCCUGAUCCAGCCAUGCCGCGUGAGUGAAGAAGGCCUUCGGGUUGUAAAGCUCUUUUGUCCGGGAGGAAAUCCCGCAACCUAAUACGUUGCGGGGAUGACAGUACUGGAAGAAUAAGCACCGGCUAACUACGUGCCAGCAUCCGCGGUAAUACGUAGGGUGCAAGCG